rnacentral:tRNA from 1 species
UACUUGUAGGUCACGUCGGGCGCGACGCCGACGUUGCGAUCGUCGGCGAACUUGCGCAGCAGUUCGGCUUCGUUGCUGGUUUC